CCAACUGAUAUUUUUAUUCCCAUUCUGUGAUGAGGAAACUAAUACACAAACAAGCUAAUUAUGUAAAUUAAAGAAAGGUACAAUUGAGUUGGUAGCAGGAUCAACAUUCUGCCCAUACCUAUCUGAAUCCAGGUCCCACAUACUUGUCUUUUGAUUAUUAAUCCUAUCUUGAUAUGAGAGAAAAGGGCUAUGUUUCACUUCAGCUGUAAUCCCAGCACUUUAGAAGGCCAAGGUGGCCGGAUCACAUGAAGUCAGGAGUUAAAGACCAUCCUGACCAACAUGGCGAAACCCCAUCCCUACUAAAAAUACAAAAAAAUUAGCCAGGUGUGGUGGUGGGCGCCUGUAAGCCUAGCUAUUCAGAAGGCUGAGGCAGGAGAAUUGCUUGAGACCGGGAGGCAGAGUUUGCAGUGAGCCGAGAUCAGCCACUGCACUCCAGCCUGGGUAACAGAGCGAGACUCUGUCUCAAAAAAUAAAUAAAAUAAAGACACCUUUAAA
rnacentral:lncRNA from 10 species